CUAAAUUGUUGUCAUGCAGUUCUUGGCAGAACCUAAAUGAUUCAGCUCUCUGGCUCUGGGGACAGACAACGCCAGUAUGCUCUGGCUGGGUACUAUAGUGCAUGCUAUUUCACCUCUGUAAGCCUGAGUCUUCACAUCUGUAAAACUGGGAUAUCAAUUGUGCCUCCCUCAUGGGCUUGUUGAAGUGUUAAGUGUUCAGCUCUCGGCAGUGUUAAUUUGAAUUCUCUCUAAUAUACCCCCAGAGAAGAGCUUUAGGGAACAAGAUGGCACCAAAAUCAUAUUUUUGGCAUGUCUUUCAGACAACAGAUAAAAGGAUGAUCAGUUCUGAAUGCUCAAAGACUGGCUUAGUCAGCCUCUCCUCAUGCCCUCCUCCCCUGAUGUCCUCAGUGAUGUGGGAGCCCUCGUGAGGACUCCCCAGCAAGCCAGCCUACAUGCAGUGUGAUGACCUGAAAACUCAGUCAUCUGCAGACUCCAUGACGUGAGCAUGAGUCACUGAACUCUCUAAAUGUUACACUCUACAAGCCCAGAGAGAUACCAAAAUGCACAAGCCUCGGCCAUCAUCAAGGAACUGAGAAAAUGUGUCUUCAACCAUGAGGAGGAAAAUUCAAAGGAGUUCCGAACAUAUACAAAUACAUGUAAAGGGACAGAGAUGAAAGGAAUGGAGCCAUCGGAGCGGGAGUACAGGGGGAGAGGGAGCAGCACCUAUGCCCAAGCCCCGACUGGGCAGCCUGGGCCAGCCCUCAGGAUGAGAGCAAGGUUCUCAAUGCCCUUCCUCACCUCCCUCCUCAAUGGUGUUCUUCAUCCUCACCAUCCCAUCACCUCCAGAGACCAGUGUGUUUGUGGCACCCUUCUUCCCAGUCAAGCCUGCUCUCAGAAAUCAUCCUUGGGAAGGGUCAACAUGAUAGCCACAUAUGGAAGGGGCGUGGAGAAGAAAGGACAGGGGAAAAAGAAGAAAGGUUGUUUUUACCAUCAGCCCCGUGUUGAAGUCAACUGGAAAUGGCCCAGUGUGGAUCAACCACCAUACUGUCCCGAGUAA
rnacentral:lncRNA from 1 species